rnacentral:rRNA from 1 species
AUUGAACGCUGGCGGCAGGCCUAACACAUGCAAGUCGAGCGGAUGACGGGAGCUUGCUCCUUGAUUCAGCGGCGGACGGGUGAGUAAUACCUAGGAAUCUGCCUGAUAGUGGGGGACAACGUCUCGAAAGGAACGCUAAUACGGCAUACGGCCUACGGGAGAAAGCAGGGGACCUUCGGGCCUUGCGCUAUCAGAUGAGCCUAGGUCGGAUUAGCUAGUUGGUGGGGUAAUGUCUCACCAAGGCGACGAUCCGUAACUGGUCUGAGAGGAUGGUCAGUCACACUGGAACUGAAACACGGUCCAGACUCCUACGGGAGGCAGCAGUGGGGAAUAUUGGACAAUGGGCGAAAGCCUGAUCCAGCCAUGCCGCGUGUGUGAAGAAGGUCUUCGGAUUGUAAAGCACUUUAAGUUGGGAGGAAGGGCAGUAAGCUAAUACCUUGCUGUUUUGACGUUACCGACAGGAUAAGCACCGGCUAACUCUGUGCCAGCCGCCGCCGUAACAC